UUUAUCUUUUUCCUUUUUUCUCAUUGGUCAAUAUCUUAAACACAAGGAUAGCAAUCUUGACCACUGAGUAUUUUUGAUCCUAUGGCUAGAAAUCACACAUCUAAUAUCUCAGUCUCUUUCUUCCUUCCUUGUCUCACGUUAUCUCUCUUUUUUUUUGUUACAGAUCUAAAUCUGAUCUCAUCUAAAUCUUUUUUAAUUCUUUGGAUCUCUAUCUUCCUCAACCACCACCACCACCACCACACGAUGACCACCACACGACCACCCGUUUGUUUUCGCCGUCCCAGCAUCACAACCACCACCACACGACCGUUCGUUCGCCAUCCCAGCAUCACCACCACCGCACAACCACGGGAUGGAGGAAGCAAGGCAAGGCAGGUAUGGCGGAUGGAGGAGGAAGAUGACGGCUUCAGAUUCAGGAAGAGGAAGCUGACGGCGAGUUGGUGAGGAGGCGACGAGAUUAGGUCUAGAUGGAUGUGACGUUUGCCUCCUCUCUGCAACUUGCCUCUCAAAUCCCACGAUGAAGAAGAAGAAUCAUGGCUGG